CCUACGGGAGGCAGCAGUGGGGAAUAUUGGGCAAUGGGCGCAAGCCUGACGAAGCAACGCCGCGUGAAGGAAGAAGGCCUUCGGGUUGUAAACUUCUGUUGGCAGGGAAGAAGAGAGUGACGGUAACUGACGAAUAAGCCACGGCUAACUGCGUGCCAGCAGCCGGGGAAAUACGUAGGAGGCAAGCGUUAAACGGGUUUACUGGGUGUAAAGGGCGUGUAGGCGGGGGGUCAAGUCAGACGUGAAAUUCCCGCGCUCAACGUGGGAACUGCGUUUGAAACUGUUAUUCUUGAGUGUUGGAGAGGCUGGUGGAAUUCCGGGUGUAGCAGUGAAAUCCGUAGAUAUACGGAGGAACAUCAGUGGCGAAGGCGACCAUCUGGACAUUAACUGACGCUGAGGAGCGAAAGCGUGGGUAGCAAACAGGAUUAGAUACCCCAGUAGUC
rnacentral:rRNA from 1 species